CCACUCCCCCUAGCUACUCGUAGUUUUUCGUUCGUUAUCGUGUAUAUAGAUAUAAUUCUUUUAUAUAUAGAUAUAUAUAUACAAUUACACAGACACACACACACA